rfam:Rhodopseudomonas palustris BisB18, complete genome.
GUCCCGGACCGGGCCCCUCUGGCAGUUCAUGUGAGCUGUGAUGUCGGACAGGACGU